UUAAAUACAAUGAAAAUAUGUUUACCAUUGCAGCAUUUUUCUUUCUAAAAUUCAAUUUUGGUCUCUUCUCUGAUGGUCACAAAUUAAUUUGGGGCAUAGUUACCCACACAGCUGUUUGAAAUCAAAAGAAGCGUCCCUCACCCAAGGCAUCACUUUUGUGACAGGAUGUCAUUUAUUCUGGCCUUGACCUCCAUGCUGGUGUUCUUUUCCAUUGCAGGGAUUACGACCACUGAGCUGUGAGUACAGGAUGGAAAAUGUAACCAGAAUGGUGGUGUGUGACCUUGGAAACCCGAUGGCGGCUGGAACAAAUUAUUCUCUGGGCCUUCGAUUUGCAGUUCCACGUCUUGAGAAAACAAACAUGAGCAUUAACUUUGAUCUACAAAUCAGAAGUUCUAACAAGGACAACCCAAACAGCAAUUUUGUGAGCCUGCAAAUCAACGUCACUGCUAUAGCUCAAGUUGAAAUA